rnacentral:rRNA from 1 species
CAGUAACGGCGAGUGAAGCGGCAACAGCUCAAAUUUGAAAUCUGGCCUCGGCCCGAGUUGUAAUUUGCAGAGGAAGCUUUAGGCGCGGCACCAUCUGAGUCCCCUGGAACGGGGCGCCACAGAGGGUGAGAGCCCCGUAUAGAUGGACGCCUAGCCUGUGUAAAGCUCCUUCGACGAGUCGAGUAGUUUGGGAAUGCUGCUCAAAAUGGGAGGUAAAUUUCUUCUAAAGCUAAAUACCGGCCAGAGACCGAUAGCGCACAAGUAGAGUGAUCGAAAGAUGAAAAGCACUUUGAAAAGAGGGUUAAAUAGCACGUGAAAUUGUUGAAAGGGAAGCGCUUGUGACCAGACUUGCGCCGGGCGGAUCAUCCGGUGUUCUCACCGGUGCACUCCGCCCGGCUCAGGCCAGCAUCGGUUCUCGCGGGGGGAUAAAGGCACCGGGAACGUAGCUCCCUCGGGAGUGUUAUAGCCCGGGGCGUAAUGCCCUCGCGGGGACCGAGGACCGCGCUUCG